UCAUGGACUUGAUUCUGGUUUUAUUCAUUCACACACACACACACACACACACACACUGGCUCUUAUCUUACAUUGCAAAAGUGGCUGGAGUUAAUUCAUUAUCUCAGUGUAGCCUCCCUCCCUCCCUCCCCCAUCACAGUCAGAAAUCGUACACAGUCAUUGAACGCCUCUCGGCCUCAUCAGCUGGAGAUAGUCACUAAAUUUCCACAUAUGAUAAAAGACAAGCUCAGGCCACGGCUGGAUCUUAUCUGUCAUGGAGCCGGCUGUUUCACCGACGAUGUGAUAUCACACUGAACAGCGGUGCUCCAUGGAGAUCAGACCACGACUCCCCCUCAUCACCCCCCCCCCAACAUGCCCUCGUUAUUUAUUCAAAUCCAACUUAAUAUAUUUAUGUAUUUAUUUCAAGGGUAGAUGUGCAAUUAAACCCCUCAAAUCAGGAUGACACUGCAUGUGCACAGGCACUUCUAAAAAAAAAAACAAAAAAACAAAGUUCACGCAGAUCAACUAUAGGUUAGUUUCCAACGACAAGCAGCUCCACACAUGCACGCGCACACGCACGCACGACUAUAGCACUGCUGUUAAACCAAGUUCUGCUUUAGGGGACAUUUUCUGCUUCAAGUCUGAGUCAAUGAUUUCCACCUGAAGUAUAAAAACAGUCCACCAGGGGCUGCACUUUCCCCAUUUGUGAACAUCUUAAUGUAAACGUUCUGGUUUUUUUUUUUUUGUUUGUUUGUUUGUUUGUUUGUUUUAAAUUGUCCACCUUGUUUAGCUAAUGUAGUGCUCACCAUUUUCCCUGAUUAGUGACAUAUUGUCAUAUUCCAGUCUCUUGUUAUUCCCGAUGUUGCUUUGCUGAUGCAGACAGACAGACAUGGUGUUGUUUACAGAUCAGAACGCGAUCAUAUAUAUAUAUAUUUUUGUCUGAUUCUGUAAUGUUACUUUUUGGGGCAUAUCCCGGAGGCAGCAGAGACGAGAGCUAAAAAAAAAACAAAAACACCCUCUGUUGACUGAGGUCUGACUCUGAUGACUAUAUCAAGCAAUAUCUGAUGCUCAUAAAGAAUUAUUAUUAUCAUCAUCUGGUUAUUCCCAGAACCAUCCUACCGAUCUGCACUGCAUCACAUCCAGCAUUUAUUGUUCAUGAGCAUUUCCCUUUGGAGGACGUCUCUCUCUCUCUCUCUCUCUCUCUCCGGCACAAUUCACCGGUCCUCUCUUAUCUCACCCUCGCUGUCAUUCUCCAGGUUGGUGUGAUUCACACUUUAUGCAUGUGACUGUUAAGGUUUGUUUAUUUGCCACAGCAGUUUUGUCUCAGAUAAAGAUGUUAGUUGAAUCAAGAGAAAUAAAUAAUAAAUAAACGGAGAAAAUAAACCCGGGGUCUGGCUCUCAGGUGUGUUUGAUGAUUUGUCAGUAUUGAACGUGUGGUGAGGUUUGUAAAAAUCAAUCUUGUACUAGUGUUUCAUGCAAACCUGGCUUUUACAGAUCUAUAGUGCAAUGACACGAAUCGAUUAAUCGGCCUUUCUAUCUGUUAAUGCGAGGCUGCAGGUGAGUGCGUCGCUUCUAUUGAGUUUGUUUUUUUUUUUUCCCUGAACCUUUGCUUGUUUUUUCCGUCAAGAUCUGGCAACACUAAUAAGCGCCUCACAGGGAUUUUAACAAGUGUUGUGGCUUUACUGUUGUGCUUCACUGUCUCGGCUGAAUCACAGUCUACUAGAAAAAUAAUUUUAAUUGUUUUGGAGACAGAAAAGAAAGUUUGAAGAAACUGGAACUACCGGCGCUGUGCGGGGCUAACAGCUAGCGGCGUCCCCGCUAGCUUGGGUGCUGUUUUGCAAAAUGAUACGGACGGCGAAGAUCGGGAAUGAACGGCGUCCUUUAAAAAAGAUCCACGUUUUCCCUUGGCAUAUUUGGAUUUUUUUUUUUUUUUAUUGUGGGAUUUAGUUAACAAGACAACACGGUUUUUGGUGUGGAACGGACACUUUUGAGAAGAACGCGCAAAACCGGAUGUUAAAGGUCAACACACCUGCGGAAAGAGUAUUAGACGAUAGAAGAAGACGGAAGAACGACGUUUGUUCUAUGACGGAUUUCUGAACAACGUGCAAACACCUCCAUUGACAAGGAGCCUUUCAAUCAACUGAUGCAAGAAGGACGACUGUUUGGUCAACGAAAACAGACAUGGACUAACAUUUACACGUGACAGUUACAGUUGCCCUCAUCCAAAGGUUGCCAUGAUAUAAGACCUGAACCUCUUCUGUGCUUCUCAUCUCAUACACAGAACUUCAGGCUGUGACAUUUCCAGGAUGGCCUUGAGGUCAGAGGCUGGUGGUGAAGAAAGGAAAACAAAGGAAAGAAAAAUCAGCUUGCAGAAG